rnacentral:misc_RNA from 1 species
CGAUCCGGCAAGGUUUAGCUUCUUCUAUACUUCUUUUUUCAGUCCGUUCUCGGUUUAAGUAUAGGUUUUAGGGUUUUUGCCAAUUAGAUCUGAUUGUGAAAUUGCUGUGUUUUAAUUACUGCGCAUUUAUUUUUGUAUUUGCGGUUCAAUGAAUGUUAUUUGAUUGAUUGAUAGAUGAAUUUGAUGCAAAAAUUAUACCAUCAUACCUUGUGGGUUCAUGAACUUUUUGGGAGUCUAGUUUGAUUGGAGUAGACAUCCUGUGAAUGUGCUUGAACUGGGUUGGUCAGGUAGAACUAUGGCUUGAGCUUUAACUAUUUAACGAUGUUUUUUGAGGGUUUAAGAUUAGGAACACAAGUUCUUAGGGAAAUAAUUACUUUCCACUUGAUUGCAUUUCGAUAAUUUUGAUAACUUCUUUUUGUUGUAACAAAUGCAUUAGAGAUGGAUCUCAGCUGCGUGCCAUAUGAUGAGGUCUUAAACAAGGGUUAGGAGGAUAUCACUCUUGAAAAUUGUAGGCAAUAUGUUUUCUUCAGUGUUUAGGGAGGACAUUUGUGUUUCUAGUUCUUGAAGGAUAGCAAAAUUCUAUAGAGCUGUGUAGGACGUUAUGUUCUUGACAUCGGCCUAUCUCUAAUGGAUUGACUAGCUAAUCUUGAAAUAUAAGUUCAUUGGUGAUAUGGGUAUGGUAGAGUUGUAAGGUGUAUUGUUUAUUUUGUUCAUUGGUGAUAUGGGUAUGGUAGAGUUGUAAGGUGUAUUGUUUAUUUUGGUGACAGCCUUUUUUGAGUUAAUGACAAAUGAGAGUGACAUAUAUUUGUUUCAAUUUUCUGUUGAAAUCUUAUAUAUGGAACAGUUUUGUUCUUUCAUUCUGUUCUUUCAUUAUACUAUGUAAUCUUUAUUGAUAUUUCAUGGUAAGUUUUAUCUCCUAUUUCAUUCUUUGUUGGAUUACAGAUUGAGUUGCCUCACUGGACUGAUAUUGUGAAGACUGGUACACUCAAAGAGCUUGCACCUUAUGACCCAGACUGGUACUAUGUUAGAGCUGCCUCUAUGGCUAGGAAGAUUUACUUGAGGGGAGGCCUUGGUGUGGGUGCCUUCCGAAGGAUUUAUGGUGGGAGCAAGAGAAAUGGAAGUCGUCCACCUCAUUUCUGCAAGAGCAGUGGCGCUAUUGCUCGUCACAUUCUUCAGCAAUUGCAGAAUAUGAACAUUGUUGACAUUGACCCCAAAGGGUGAGCUCUGGAUUUCUUACAGGCUAGGCUUCAUUUUACCAUGUCAUCAAACUAUGGUCCUCUGAUUUUGCUCAAAUUUCUUCUGUUUCUUGAGGAUGGAUGUUGCCUUGCAUUUAAUUUAAAUCUUUUUGGAAAUUCAUCUUUAUUCACCUGUCUUCAUCCUUCAUAUUACCAUGAACAUGGCAUAGGUCUUGAUAAGUGAAAUUAUUGACUGAUAAGCAUGCGAUUGCUGUUGUGGUAGUGGGAGGAGAAUCACUUCAAGCGGUCAAA